rnacentral:rRNA from 1 species
UACAGAGGGUGCGAGCGUUUGUCCGGAAUCACUGGGCGUAAAGGGCGCGUAGGUGGUGGCUUAAGCGUGCGGUGAAAGCUCGGAGCUCAACUCCGAGUCGGCCGUGCGAACUGGGCUCACUGGAGCAUAGUAGAGGCAGGUGGAAUUCCGGGUGUAGCGGUGGAAUGCGUAGAGAUCCGGAAGAACACCGGUGGCGAAGGCGGCCUGCUGGGCUAUGGCUGACACUGAGGCGCGACAGCGUGGGGAGCAAACAGG